GGCUAUUCAUCCGACAACGCUUUAAAAGCUAAAACUAAACCACUAAAAGGGUUGCGUUGUUUCUUAAGAACGAAGCAACAACAUAUUCGAUACGCUAUACGUUUCGUAUGCGGUGCGUAAGCGAAAAUCACGAAGAAAAAAAAAAGUAUAAAAAAAAAUAAUAAAAUAGUGGCGCGAGCAGGAAUCGAUCCCAGAACUUGGCGCACACAAUACGGGUGCCUAAACCACUACACUACGAAGGAUUGGCUUGAAAUUCAACUAAAUUUACGCUGUUUUAUUUUUAACGACUUUAACGAUAUGGAAAUGUCGGACGAAUAUAAUUCAACUAAAUUUACGCUGUUUUAUUUUUAACGACUUUAACGAUAUGGAAAUGUCGGACGAAUAUCCACUUCCUAAAUUAUA